CUGGCGCUGUUGUUCCGGGAGCGAGGCAGUACGAAGGCCGGGAGUGGCGCCGCUGCACACCGUGAACAGGCCACUGCAUCGUUGCAGCAGCCACACUUUCUUCGUAGAUCGGGUCAGGCCGCGCCGAUUUUCGGCAUCUGAAGUAUUUGACUUUCAUUUAAGGUAAUUUAGUGGGUUGGUGCUCGAGAAAUGUCAUUUCCACCGCAUAUGAAUCGUCCUCCCUUAGGGAUACCCCCAUUGCCGCCGGGUAUUCCUCCUCCACAGUUUGCAAGCUUCCCACCUUCUGUGCCACCCGGUUCGGGUUUCCCCCAUGAGAAACAUCCUCUCAACAUCUACUGUGUCAAACCCCUUCAGAAUCGAGCACCUAUGAUUCCUGUUCCUAUGGGGAUAAUGACUCCUGCCACAACUGCAGCAAGUUACAGGCACCCACCACUCCAGGUCUCCUUGCUGUACACCAUGAACCGUUGCCCAACAGAGGGCAAACAGGUAUUGGUGCCAACCUCUGUGCCUCUGGUUGGAAAGCAUAUUGGACCAAGGAAGGACCAUGCUGCUCAAAGGAUUCGUGAAAGUGACGAAAGCAGUGGUCCAACUACAACAGUUUUUGUAGGCAACAUUUCUGAGAAAGCUUCUGAUAUGUUAAUCAGGCAGUUACUGGCGAAAUGUGGCUUGGUUUUAAGUUGGAAGAGAGUACAAGGAGCUUCAGGCAAGUUGCAAGCAUUCGGAUUUUGUGAGUAUAAGGAGCCAGAAUCUACUCUGCGAGCUUUAAGGUUAUUGCAUGAACUUCAAGUAGGAGACAAAAAGCUGCUCGUAAAAGUAGAUGCAAAGACCAAAGCCCAGCUGGAUGAAUGGAAGGCCAAAAAGAAAGGAGUCAAUGGAGAUACAAAAACAGAAGAUUCGUCAGAUGAUGUUGUGGAUGAGGAAACUAAGAGGAGAGAUCAGAUUGUAAAAGGAGCAAUAGAAGGAUUAAUAAGAGAAUACUCCAGCGAAUUAAAUGCACCUUCCCAAGAUCAAGAUUCACAUCCUAGAAAGAAGAAAAAAGAAAAGAAAGAGGAGGAUGAUAUAAGUGCUAUGGAAAUGGAAGAGGAUAAACGAGACCUAAUUUCUAGAGAAAUUAGCAAAUUCAGAGAUACUCACAAGAAACUAGAAGAAGAAAAAGGGCGACGAGAAAAAGAAAGACAAGAAGUUGAAAAGGAGAGAAGAGAUAGAGAGAAAGAACGUGAGCGAGAAAGAGAAAGGCGUGAAAGAGAGAAGGAACGCGAGAAAGAAAAGGAGAGGGAACGGGAGCGUGAGCGGGAAAGAGAGCGGGAACGAGAGCGUGAGCGGGAUCGGGAUCGUGAGCGAGACCGUGAUAGAGAUCGUGAGAGAACAAAGGAUAAGGAAAGAGAACGCGACCGAGAAAGGGAUCGAGAGCGGGAUAAAGAGAGAGAAAGAAGUCGGGACCGGGAGAGAAGCAAGGAUCGAAGUAGAUCCAGAGAGAAAAGCCGAGAAAAGGAGAAGAAAAGGGAUAGGGAAGAAGAUGAAGAAGAAAUGUAUGAACGUCGGAAACUUGAAAGAAAGCUCCGUGAGAAAGAAAAUGCAUACCAAGAGCGUCUUAAAAAUUGGGAAAUAAGAGAACGGAAGAAGGCCAGAGACUAUGAAAAAGAAGCUGAAAGGGAGGAAGAAAGGAGAAGAGAAAUGACAAAAGAGGCAAAAAGACUGAAGGAGUUUUUAGAAGACUAUGAUGAUGAUCGGGAUGAUCCAAAAUAUUACAGAGGAAGUGCUUUGCAGAAACGCUUAAGAGAUCGAGAGAAAGAAAUGGAAGCAGAUGAAAGAGAUCGCAAGCGAGAGAAGGAGGAGCAUGAGGAGAUUCGGCAGCGUUUGUUGGCAGAAGGACACCCAGAUCCUGAUGCAGAGCUUCAGAGGAUGGAACAGGAGGCAGAAAGACGGCGGCAGCAGCCUAUCAAACAAGAGCCAGAAUCAGAAGAGGAGGAGGAGGAGGAAGAAAAGCCAGAGAAAGAGGAACGCCGAGUGGAAGAGGAUGAAGAACCUGAGCAGAAACCCUGCCUUAAACCCACUUUGCGUCCUAUCAGUUCCGUCCCAUCUGUUUCAUCAGCAAGUGGAAAUGCCACACCAAACACACCUGCCGAUGAAUCCCCAUGUGGCAUUAUCAUACCACACGAGAACUCGCCUGAUCAACAGCAAGAAGAGCAGCGGCCUAAAAUUGGGCUGAGCUUGAAACUAGGUGGUUCCAAUAGCCCAAGUCAGCCAAUUUCAGUCAAACGAAAGAAACUGCCUGUUGAUAGUGUUUUCAAUAAGUUUGAAGAUGAAGAUAGUGAUGAAGUUCCUAGGAAACGGAAACUUGUCCCAUUGGAUUAUUCAGAGGAUGAGAAGAGUUCCUCCAAGGGAAAUGUCAAUACAGAAGAAAAACGAAAACACAUAAAAAAUCUGAUUGAGAAAAUCCCUACAGCUAAACCCGAACUUUUUGCCUAUCCUCUUGACUGGUCUAUUGUGGAUACGAACUUGAUGGACCGACGCAUUCGACCGUGGAUCAAUAAAAAAAUAAUAGAAUAUAUUGGUGAAGAAGAAGCUACACUAGUAGACUUUGUUUGUUCAAAGGUAAUGGCACACAGUUCACCACAGAGCAUUUUAGAUGAUGUAGCUAUGUCUGGUAAUAGAGCAGCAUGAGCAGGGGCUAGUAUACCACGUGGCACUGAAUUAGACUUUAUUAAAGACACUAAUGGUACUGGAUGAAGAAGCAGAAGUCUUCAUAGUGAAGAUGUGGCGGUUAUUGAUAUAUGAAACAGAAGCUAAAAAGAUAGGACUUGUUAAAUAGAUUGUCAUAUCCAUAGGAAAUGUCUUUGGGAAAAUGUUUAAAACUGUAACUUUCAUCUGUCCUCAGAGGCACUUGUGAAGCUUGUAUUUUUUAUUGUAGAGAUAAUGUGAAGUCCAUUUUUUCUUCUCUCCUUCACCCCAUCAUUUGGUUGCUGUGUCCUUAAAAGAUGUACAGUUAAUACAAUCUGCCUACAUUGGUUCUUCAUUUCACCAACUGAGAUAAAUGACUGGGUUAUUUUUUAUAAACUGAUUUCUUCUGCUGUGUAUUUUCAUUAUCGACACACUGACUUGUUCAUAACCUCUCGGUGUUACAUUUAUGGAAGGUUAUGCUGCACCGAUGCAAAAUAUUUGCACUUACUAUCCGGGUUGUCCCUGUGAUAUGGAGGAGCAGGCUUAGAAAUGAGAUGUUUAUACAUUUAUUGUUUCGAAAUUAGCAAUUUUGAGGGGGAAAGAACUUUGAAAGAUACAGAGUUGUUUUCUCGUCAACAUUAUGAAAAUAUUUAAAUGUUGCAUUUAAAAUGUUUGCAUUUCCAGCAGGUGACAGAAUAGGGUUUAAAUGUUUUUGAAAUAAAUAAAUAAAGUUUGAGAAUGUCUUAGUUGACUUUUUAAAGAGAUCUGUAUCCCUUUUAGUUGCCAACAUAGGUUUAAUUUAAUGUUUUGAAAUCAAAUCUUUGUAAUUUUACAUUUAUCAUUUUUUAUAUAGUCAAAAUUAUUUUUGAUGCAGGUUCAACAAGUAAGCUGCUGUCAGAUAUUGCAAGUACAAGGGGCAAGCUAUGUUUUUCAUUUGUCAGUCUCAUACAGUUUCUUUGGGGUGAAGUUUUAAUAAACUACAAUGAGCUUUUUCAAGGGUGUGUGUUUAAGCUGUGUUAUGGAGGCUUGAUGGUUAGCUUGGAAAUGCAACUUUUGUUGGCCCAUUAAAUGGAAUGCUGUCCGUUUGGGUCGUUCUUGUCUUGGUUCACUGUAUCCAGAGAUGCAUAGUUCUAGAAAAGAAGGUAUUGACGACAUUCUAAAAAUAAAUAAUUGAGGCCAGUUUUUUUUUAAUGAAAAGUGAGACUCUAGAUCAGUGUUCCCAAACAGCUUUGGGUUACUGCCCUCUUGGUUCCCUCAAAACAUCCCCAGCGCUCCCCUCUCCCUUUCCAGCCAUUCUGUAAAAACUUAUAAAGAAUUUUGAUUUAUGAUGCACAGAGAAAGAAAAUAGGAACUGCAAAUUCAAAGUGGUGUCAAAUAAUUGCAAAAACUAAAUACAAUCUAUUUAAAACAAUAUCAUUUAUUUAAUGACAGUAAGGGCAAUUUUCAUCAGCAAUUUUAGAGUGCGUAUUAGUAGUUCAUCUAUUCAUUACUUGUUACGUUUUCACCAUUCAAUGAGAUGGAUGCCAGUAAAUCAGCUCAACAUCAGACUGAAUGUCACAAAGAAAGAGUCUCAGAUCCCCACAUUCAGUAAUUUGCAUCCUAUUUAAUUGCUUUGAAAGAAGUUGGGUGACUACACUGAAACUGUGCUCCACUAAAUAUGAUUUUGGAACAGCAGUAAAGAACAUCUUCACCUUUUCCACAGUGCAGGAGAGCGUUCAGAGAUUUCUUUCUGCAGCCCAAAGUCUUUGUGUAUUUUUUUGUACCUCUGUUUCUGUUCAAAAUCAUUUUGUAGCGAGAUCAGUUCUUUCACUGUCAUUUCUGUUAAUUCCGCAUUACAAGGUUUCAAGAAUGGAUUUAUUACCCAGUCUGGAAUUUGGAUCGAGAGAAGAUCCUGAAAUCUCUCUGAUAUGUCUUCGUGCAGCUUGCCUAGUUGGGCAGUUACUUGAAGAUCAUCUGGUAUUCUUUCUUUCUCCUACAACUUGCUCAGAAAUUGGAAAAGGUCGUGACGACCAAUGUUGCACUUACUUAGUUAUCUUGGACAGAAAUUGAAAGGAAGCUACUGACAUGAUAAAGGAAGCCCUGAACAUGCCACAGAUGGAGUACUUUCAUUGCUGCCCUAAAUACCAGUAGCAUAACGGGCAGUAAGUUGGACAGAAAUAUGGAGACAACUGAUUUGACUUUGAUAAGAUUCACAUCAUUUCCUUGAAAUUGAAGAUCGAUUUCAUUAAACUUUGUGAAUAAUUCUGACAAAUAAGCAAUGCCAUGCCUAAUAUUCUUGAGUUGAUUUUGAAGAUGUUAAUGUUUCUUUGAAAAUAAUUUCAUCAGUUUCAAAAAAUGCUUAAAAGCAUCUCAGGGAAUUUUCUUUUGAGAGCCAUCUGACUUCUCUGUGCAACAAUGAGCAUUGAAACAUUCAUCAUUCUCAAUACAAAUCUAUCAAAGUAGUACUGGGAGUAUGGUCCUUAAUUUUAUUAAUCGCUGUGAUAAAACAGAAAAAGACUUUUGUCAGAGUGAAAGCAGAGCUCUACAAAGUGAUCUAAAUUACAAAUAUAAAGCAUAAGUAUUUCACCAAUUUAAUAUGACGUACCAAAUUAUCACUGGUGCAGCUAAUGGUUUUAGAGGUCACAUGAAACGAUAAAACUGAAAACUUCCACAGGGAGGGGGAAAUAUUUUUAUAGGCACUGUAUAUCAAAAACCGAAGUGUUACUACUUUUCAACAACUAUAAAUGUGUUUCAAGCAAAGUAUAAGAGCAAGCAGCUGAUGAAGUGAUUACAUGGAUUAUUGUAAUCAAUUAUAUACUGAGCUUAUAAUAAUUCAUUUUGCAAAUUAUACAUAUAAUGCCUCAGUAUACCCCCCCCCCCCAAUGCUUCCUUAGAAACUCCCACUACCCUGGAAGGGGGGGGGGGGGGUAGCAGUGACAUUGCCCACUUUGGGAACCACUGCUCUAGACCCUAAGUUUACUUAGUACCAAACCACUAGUGUAUAACUGAAUCCUUUACACGCUGUAAACAUUCGGUUUCACUUUAGAACUUCAAAAAACUAUUUCAAGCUCCAUUCUUGCAUGUCACGUUUAGAUGUAAAGUUCAAUUUUGAUUGCUAGAUUUUAAACAAUUAUUUGCAUACAUGAUGAUUGCUAACAUUUUCUAUGAAGGAUUUUUUUAAUUUUACACUAAUGCUAAUGAGUAUUACAAGAAUUUAAACUGUAAAUAUUGUAUACAAUGCCAUUUAACUUCUCAAAUAAAUCUGUUUCCAAUUUUC